UUACCAGGACACAAAGCACCUCUCGAAGCAGUGAGCAAUCAAAAGUGAAAAGUAGAAAAAGGCAAAAGAAAAGAAAAAGGUGAGAAAAGAAAAAUUCAAAGAAGAAAAAGAAAGAGCUCACUACAAGGGAAGGCUGGGAAAAAGAUAAGAGAGUUGUUCUUGAAAGAAGAAUUCACAAAUGUCUCUCUUGAAUCAAGGAACUUUG
rnacentral:lncRNA from 1 species